UCAAGAGACAUAUGAGGUGUGAUGUACAGUCUUAACACGUGAGUGGUGAACAUGGUCAGAGAGAAACUGGAGUGUUUAGAAUCACAGAACUGUGGGAAGGAGACAAGGAACUGAAGGGUCCUGCAGAGAGCACCUGGUCCUCUCCACAGCCUCUUUUGAGAUGUUCAUCUAACCUGUUCUUAUAAACCUUUGAUCACAGAAUCUCUGCAGUCUCCCCAGGCUCUAACACUGUGAGAAAACCUGAAUUUAAAACCAUGCCUACCGGACUCAGACAUGUGCAAUAUAGGCAACUGAUUACCUGAGCACAGCUGAAUGCUUCUGUCAGCAAAUGCUUAUCUGUCAUAAAUGAUGGAUCUCAGAGGACACGUUGGGGUUUGAGCCAUUUAUCGACAAUCAGCAGUGGGGAAACAGCAGUAUUCAAUGAACGAGUUGCAUUGUUCUACUGCUGCAAAUGAAGUUGAAGAAUUCAGCACCCAAUUCGCUUACGGUGACUCACCUUAUUUUGGACUUUAAUAUAUUGAAGUGACAAGAAGACCUACCAAUUCUCUGAGAAAUGUGUGAGAUUAUAGUUGUGGGAAUGUUUUUCUAAAAGUUUUUUUUUAGGUUCUAUUUCAUACUUUGUGUUUUCCAAAGUCAUAAAAAUCUGAGCCGUGAUUCAUCUAAAUGCCUCUGAAGACUUCAAAAAUACUUAUUUUGAAGAAGUUGUUAUAAUACUUGUCUAUAAAACUGAACUAAAUUUUAGCACAGUGCUCAGCCCACAUUGGUUUAUAAUUUCGUAUAGGAAUAUAAGCUUUAAGAAUAUUUUCCUAGCUAUGCCUGGUUUGAAGGUAAACAGAAAUAUUGUCCAAGAUUACAUUCUCUCUGACUGUAUGAGAGUUUCACUUUGAUCCAUUUUGCACUGUGGGAGAUCAUUGUCUUGAAGGCAAAAUAUGGUUUCAUAUGUGCUUGAGCCAAUGCAGAGAUUUGAAUGUGAGGACAGAGAUUUCAAAAGGACUCUGCAGUCCUGUAACACUGUAAGCCAGUACGGACAGCUGCAAGGGAAAAUGCUCAUGACUGUAUGUCUCACUGACCAGACUACUUGCUGUGUUGUGAACUGUUUCAGUUUGAAUGCCAGGCACCAGGACCUGCACCAUGCCAGUCCGACUGUCAUGGAUGCUGGGGUUACCACCAGCUGGGCUCUGCCUGAUAGAAUAGGAUGUACCCCAUGACUGGCUGCUGUAUAAAUACAACCUUUUUGUUCAUAUGAUUCUUUGGGGAUCUUGUAGAAUUUUUCUAUAAUGUCCCAAUUUGAGUAGAAAUCUUUAACCAAUGGGAGGAGUCAUCUGGGAAACACAUUUUUCAAAGUUUUUCCUAUUAUCUAGGUAGGUAAAUCCAUAUAGGUUGCUGUGAGACACAGCCAAGAUGGAUAACUGUGCUGGUGCUGG